GAUGAAGAACGCAGCAAAAUGCGAUAAGUAAUGUGAAUUGCAGAAUUCAGUGAAUCAUCGAAUCUUUGAACGCACAUUGCGCCCGCCAGUAUUCUGGCGGGCAUGCCUGUUCGAGCGUCAUUUCAACCCUCAAGCACAGCUUGGUGUUGGGACUCGCGUUAAUUCGCGUUCCUCAAAUUGAUUGGCGGUCACGUCGAGCUUCCAUAGCGUAGUAGUAAAACCCUCGUUACUGGUAAUCGUCGCGGCCACGCCAUUAAACCCCAACUUCUGAAUGUUGACCUCGGAUCAGGUAGGAAUACCCGCUGAACUUAAGCAUAUCAAUAAGCGGAGGA
rnacentral:misc_RNA from 1 species